AAAUUGAAGAGUUUGAUCAUGGCUCAGAUUGAACGCUGGCGGCAGGCCUAACACAUGCAAGUCGAGCGGCAGCGGAAAGUAGCUUGCUACUUCGCCG
rnacentral:rRNA from 1 species